rnacentral:rRNA from 1 species
UCCUGGCUCAGGAUGAACGCUAGCGGCAGGCUUAAUACAUGCAAGUCGAGGGCAGCACGAAUAGCAAUAUUUGGUGGCGACCGGCGCACGGGUGCGUAACACGUAUACAACCUACCUAUAACAGGGGGAUAGCCUUUCGAAAGAGAGAUUAAUACCCCGUAAUAAAUUGAGUGGCAUCACUUGAUUUUGAAAGCUACGGCGGUUAUAGAUGGGUAUGCGUCUGAUUAGCUAGUUGGUGAGGUAACGGCUCACCAAGGCGACGAUCAGUAGGGGAUCUGAGAGGACUAACCCCCACACUGGUACUGAGACACGGACCAGACUCCUACGGGAGGCAGCAGUAAGGAAUAUUGGUCAAUGGAGGCAACUCUGAACCCAGCCAUGCCGCGUGCAGGAUGACGGCCCUAUGGGUUGUAAACUGCUUUUGUACCAGAGAAAACCUACUCACGUGUGAGUAGCUGAUAGUAUGGUAAGAAUAAGCAUCGGCUAACUUCGUG